AUUGAACGCUGGCGGCGUGCCUAACACAUGCAAGUCGAGCGAGAAGUUUGAAAAAUGAGUUUUCGAACAAGUGAUUCAAACGGAAAGCGGCGGACGGGUGAGUAACGCGUAGGCAACCUGCCCCGUGCAGAGGGACAGCCUCGGGAAACCGGGAUUAAGACCUCAUGAUAUCGGGUUAUCACAUGGUAAUCCGGUCAAAGAUUUAUCGGCAUGGGAUGGGCCUGCGUCUGAUUAGCUGGUUGGUGGGGUAACGGCCUACCAAGGCGACGAUCAGUAGCAGAACUGAGAGGUUCAUCUGCCACAUUGGAACUGAGACACGGUCCAAACUCCUACGGGAGGCAGCAGUGAGGAAUAUUGCACAAUGGGCGAAAGCCUGAUGCAGCAACGCCGCGUGAGCGAGGAAGGCCUUUGGGUCGUAAAGCUCUGUCCUUGGGGAAGAAACAAAUGACGGUACCCUUGGAGGAAGCCCCGGCUAACUACGUGCCAGCAGCCGCGGUAA
rnacentral:rRNA from 1 species